UCAGUCGACUCCUACGGGGAGGCAGCAGUGGGGAAUAUUGCACAAUGGGGGAAAACCCUGAUGCAGCCAUGCCGCGUGUGUGAAGAAGGCCUUCGGGUUGUAAAGCACUUUCAGUAGGGAGGAAGGUAGUGUAGUUAACACCUGCAUUAUUUGACGUUACCUACAGAAGAAGCACCGGCUAACUCCGUGCCAGCAGCCGCGGUAAUACGGAGGGGUGCGAGCGUUAAUCGGAAUUACUGGGCGUAAAGCGCAUGCAGGCGGCCUGUUAAGUCAGAUGUGAAAGCCCGGGGCUUAACCUCGGAAUUGCAUUUGAAACUGGCAGGCUAGAGUCUUGUAGAGGGGGGUAGGAAUUUCAGGUGUAGCGGUGAAAUGCGUAGAGAUCUGAAGGAAUACCAGUGGCGAAGGCGGCCCCCUGGACAAAGACUGACGCUCAGAUGCGAAAGCGUGGGGAGCAAACAGGAUUAGAUACCCCUGGUAG
rnacentral:rRNA from 1 species